rnacentral:rRNA from 1 species
UGUCAGCAGCCGCGGUAAUACGGAGGAUGCAAGCGUUAUCCGGAUUCAUUGGGUUUAAAGGGUGCGCAGGCGGAUUGAUAAGUCAGUGGUGAAAUUCAACGGCUCAACUGUUGACCUGCCAUUGAUACUGUUAGUCUAGAGUAUAGUUGAAGUGGGCGGAAUGUGUCAUGUAGCGGUGAAAUGCUUAGAUAUGACACAGAACACCGAUCGCGAAGGCAGCUCACUAAGCUAAAACUGACGCUCAUGCACGAAAGCGUGGGGAUCAAACAGGAUUAGAUACCCUGGUAGUCCACGCUGUAAACGAUGAUUACUCGAUGUUGGCGAUACACAGUCAGCGUCUGAACGAAAGUAUUAAGUAAUCCACCUGGGGAGUACGUUCGCAAGGAUGAAACUCAAAUAAAUUGACGG